ACUAGCUGUCGGCGCCGUCUCGCCCAGUCGGUGGGAGCGAAUGCGCGGGCACCGUUGAUGGUGACUUUUCCCACCGCCUGAGAAGCCUACUGAAGGACUACCGGAGGCCAGAUAUGCUUAUUCCCCGCCAUUUCCUUUUUAUUCUUCAUUCUGCGGGGUGUCUGGUGAUGUCUCGCCGGCUGGAAUCACGUCGUCGUUUCGUUCUCGACUGUCGGCUGCCGCGUCACAUCCAGACAUGCGGUGCCCUUCUCGAGGGUGGCCAUCUCCUCACGGGCAUCUGAGAACUCUCCCACCUCCAUGCCUUCGCCCAGUCGGCCCCAUGCCACGGCUGUCGCGUUGGACAACAUGCAGACAGCACGCGGAACAUUGGCCUGGUCUCCGCCGGGCACCACGGUCCGAAGCGUGGCCGAGUAUGAAGACAAAACGUGCGGAUGAGCACUGGAGGGGAGAAAAAUAGGAAGGUGGAAUAAAACAGAAGCAAAUAAAGUCGCUCGGAAAGACA